UCAACUAUUGUGUCCUUCAUUUUGCAAUUCAGUUAUCAAUUCACUGAUUAGUAAAUUAACCCCAUUGUCUAUUUGUAUGUAAAAUAACAGCAUUGCUGUAUACAACACCUAAUUUUUGUAGUAAAAUUUAAUUUACAAGAUACACAUUCAAAACCAAUUACCUCUCUUUUUCAAGACAAAAAGAAUACAAGUGAUAAAAUCAUUAACAGAUGGGGUUUAUUUGUAUUUCAGGACAUAAUCCGAGUGAGUCAAGUUCAUAUUGAAUACACAUGGCUUGGAAUUGGAUAAAUAGACUGAAGCGGUCUUAAAUCUCCCUGUGCAACUGACUUUAUUAGGUACUCUGCUCAGAAACCCAAGUGGAGUUUAAAAUCUUAUACAGAUCACUUUAACCUUUAUUAUAAUUCUCUAAAUGCAUCUCAUUGAUGCUUAAUUUAACAGUAAACAUUUCAAUAAAAGAAGAAAAUACACUGCAUGUCUGUUUUUUUUGUUUUUUUGUUUUUUUCUCUUUGAAUGUACUUUGCCAAUUAUGGCUGAUGACUUAUUUAUUCUCAUUAUCAUGCUGUACAUUAGGAUAUGGUGUAUGCAAAAGCAAAUAACACAAAUAUAACUAUUUGGUUGCUAUACUUAUUACAAAGAGAAUACAAGAGAGAUACACAUUUAUUUGGUGAUCAUCAGUGGGGUCAUGGCUCCAGACGGCACUGUGACACUCUACCUUUAACAAAUCUAGAGUGAGGGACUAUAUAUAUGUGCAAGCCCCUGCUAGUGUAUACAGUGAAGAAGGGGCCUGAGAGAGUUUUUUUUGUUUUUUGUUUUUUAGUUCUAUGUGACAUUCUAACUGUGAAGUUUGCUUUUACUGCAAUAAAAUACACAUAUUUAUAUUCAGCGAUGCCUCAUGUGUAAAACAGUACCCCCUAUGUACAGGUUUAUGGUGUUUUGGGAAGUUACAGGGUCAAAUAUAGCGUGUUACAUUUUUCAGUUUUUAACCCCUUAAGGACACAACUUUUGGAAUUAAAUGGAAUCAUGACGGAAUAUUAAUGUGAUGUGUCCUUAAGGGGUUAAACAUUGAAAAACGCCGCCCUAAGUGCUCAGUCAAGUGCCUGCUUGGCCUCAUGUCUUGGGGAGGCCAAGAGGUUGCCGGCCGGCCACCCUUUGAUCCUCCCGAGGCAUUUAGCUGGCUCAAAGUUUAGACGGGGGGGCGAGGGAGCGCAGUACUCUGAGCACUUCCUGCUCCCUCGCACAGCCUUGUAUGAUGCCAGGAGCCGGAAUAUGACAUCACUCCGGCCCCGGCGGUGCGCGAGGGAGCAGGAAGUGCUCAGCUCCCUUCAGACAGAUAGACCCUGACCGAUAGACAGACCACCUGCACAGUCACCCACCCAGACACCUCCCCACCGGGAACAUCCGCUGCUGGGACCAGGACCCCCUCCCCGCCCGCUCCUGCUGGUUCCGGGACCCCUCAAGCAGUCAUGGAAUGUACCCUGAGCGCGGAGGAGAGAGCUGCGCUGGAGAGAACCAAACAGACCUGCUACUGGGUGAGCUACCCCCAUCUACUCC
rnacentral:lncRNA from 1 species